GACACUUCUCUGCUUGGGAAUUGCUCUGUAUCCCUUCUUUUUGUCGUGGUGCUUCCUGAGUGGCAGACCUAUAAAUUUUCACCCUCUCUCAAGCCACAAGUGGGUUAAUGAACCUUGCAAGGCACAGGAUUAACAAGACGAAAAAGGAGCUCAGGAGUAGUGAAAAUGGCGUCAGCAUUAACUGGAGAAAUGGAUUGCUCUCCAAGUUUGUCCAUUUGGCAGCACUUGUGGGCAAGAAAUGUGACAUUUCCUCUCCUUUUUUUCUUCAUUCCUUGCCCAUUCUUUGCACUCUGUCAGCUAUUCAAGAAAUGGACUUUAUUCAUCUGUACAAAAGGUGCAGUUUAUAGAUGCCUCCUGAUCCUUUAAGGUUGUUCAUUCCAGGGCAACUCAAAACUAAAAUACACCUUGUGAGUUUA